ACGAACGCUGGCGGCGUGUCUAAGGCAUGCAAGUCGAGUGGGUUAGACCCACGGCAAACGGGAGCGUAACACAUUGGUAACUUACCUUGGGGUCGUGAAUAAUCCCGAGAAAUCGGGAAUAAUACACGAUGGAAGCGGGGGGACAAAAGUCAUUCCCGCUUAAAGAUUUAUCGCCCCAAGAAAGGCCUAUGCCCUAUCAGCUAGUUGGUGAGGUAAUAGCUCACCAAGGCUACGACGGGUACCGGGUGUGAGAGCAUGACCCGGCUCACUGGGACUGAGACACUGCCCAGACUCCUACGGGAGGCUGCAGUCAAGAAUAUUCCUCAAUGGCCGAAAGGCUGAAGGAGCGACGCCGCGUGCAGGAAGACGCCCCUCGGGGUGUAAACUGCUUUUAUCCGGGAAGAAUCAAUGACGGUACCGGAAGAAUAAGGGGCUGCUAACCUCGU
rnacentral:rRNA from 1 species